ACCCAGAGGACACCAGUCAGCCCUCGGGCCCAGGUGCUGCCUCCUGGCUGCGGGCCCAUGGCCAGGGGCCUCCAUCUGCUGGGCACCCAGCUUCCAUCCGUGAACCCUGCAGCUUCUGUGCUCCCAUUUCCCAGAUGUGGUGACUGAGGUUCGCAGAGGCAGCACCAGAGCUCGAGGCUCCUGACCGUGAAACACUUGUUCUUUGCAAAGGGCUCACUCCUGUGUGACUGUUCUAUCUGCGCCUUGAACAUUUGCCAGACUUCCAGCCCCAUAAUCCUCACACCCUUGUCCUCAUGAGCCAUUUGCUCAGCUGUGCGUCCUGUACCCACUACGGACUGUGAAGUGUCUUGCAAGCUACCAGGUGAGCCUGCCACCGUUCCACAAAUGCCGACAGACGCCAUGAGGCUCCUGGGGCAGACACAAAGGACAGUUAAUGACUCGUGACAGGAAUCAAAACACGACCAUUUUUGCACGUCAGUGUCCCGAGGGCAACAUAACCAGGGCCAGGCGGGACCUUGUACUGCAGACAAGAGAGGAACCCUGAACUGAGGGAGCCUGAACUCUUACAGUAGGCAGCAAGAGUUCCUGCCAUUUGCUGUGGAGGGAGAGUGGCUCUCAAUUUCCAGGCUGUUCCAUUGUAGCAUACCGACUAGCACCCUCCAGAGCCUUCCAUCCAUCUGGAACCUAUGAAUGUUGCCUUUGUUUGGAAACCGAGUCUUUGCAGAUAUAACAUCAAAUCAAGAUGCAUGACGGGGCAGGGGCGGGGGGUCCUUAAUUCAAUAUGGCUGCCGCCAUUAUGAGAGGGGAAAUGGACAGAGAAGAAAGAGGUCACGUGACAAUGGAGGCAGCGGUUGGAGUAACACUGCAGCACACCCAGGCAGCUCAAGGACUGCAGAGGCUGGAAGAGACCAGGACGGAUCCUCCCUUGGGGCCAUCAGAGCAUGGCCCUGACCACUCCUCCACCUCAGACUUCUGGCCUCCAGAACCAUGAUGCGUUCCUGUUGUUUGAAGCCCCUGGUUUGUGGUCAUUUACUAUUGCAGCCCUAGAAACAGAGUUCAUCAUUAUACAAAAUCCUUGAAAAGACAGUCUAGGUCAAAGGGCAACUGGGGCCUCGUUCACAACUGACACAGAAACCGGGAAGGCUGUGGAGCGUCCUCCCCAACACUCCCAGUGACCACACAUCAGGACUGAAGCCUCAGCGGUGUGCUGUCCUCCCCCUCUCUGUCUAUUAUGACUUUAUCUUGUCUUUUGGGGACCUCACCCUUGCUGCGAAUGGCUCAUCAUGCCAUCCCCACCCCCAUAAGGGAGAUUCUAAUACGAUCUAUCAUUGCCCCAUAAUGGACUUCCACCCAAGAUGGUUUGGAAAAAGGGAAGCACAUAUUUAAAAACUUAAAAAGCUGGAAUAUCAGGCUGGGUAGUGGCUCCGUGGUGGAGCACUUACCUAGCACAUGUAAAGCACUGGGUUCUAUUCUUAACACCACAUAAAAAGAUGUAUUUUUUAAAAAAAGGUGGAAUAUCUAGGCCCCACCCUACAGCUGACAUUGGAUAGCGGGUGAAGGGCUUGUCAAGGCCAAGAGCAAGUUGGAAGCAGUUGGUCAGUGCGAACUCCUGCCCCCCCUGAGAGCUGCCUUCUGUGUAGGUCACCAGUUUCUACCAAAGUAGGGUCAGAUCAGAAGACAGAGAGAUCACAGGGUGGGCUCAGCUGUUGGACACAGAGAACUGGAGCGUGGCUGAGGCCAACCAGGGGCACAGCCUACAUGGUGGAUGCACAGAGCACAUGUUUAACAAGCAGCAGCCUCUGACCACCUCCACCCUUGUCCCCUCUCUGCCUGCAGAAAACUUAACCCCAUCGUAGCUCCCAGGCCUCACAUCCACAUCAGCAGGUUUCCAUCAUAGUCUCAAGUGCCAUCAGGCCAACAUGUGGUCUUAGAAAGCCCGCUGAAACAUGGCCCCCUACUCAACUGCCAGGGCAGGGCUUUCUCUGUUCUACUCCCCAGACCAGCAGGUGCAAUACCACGUGUUGACAGGACACUUGUGCCAGGUCAGGGCCUGCUGUUCUGCUCAGCCAGCACGUUUAUGCCCUAUGCACCUGCCAAGGCUCUGUGGUCACGGCACAAUUCAAUCCUGGUGGCAAAUGUUCAGAGGACAUUACAUUAGUUUAUUUAUAUGUAAGGAGCCCAGAGCUCAGAGAGUCAGGUCUGCAGCUGGAAUGUGACCAUGCAGAAAGUGCGCCUGGAAUCCAAUUUUCUGGGACAAGAGUCUGUAGCAUCGACAUACACCAUAAACAUGAAGACAACCGGAGCCCCCCACAAUUGCAGGAGGAAACAGGUCACAGCAUAAUUCUGAGCCAGUUUGCCGCAUGAUGAAGAGAAAUGUGGUUUCCUGUCCCACCAGUCCUUUUGCUCCUGACAUGGGGUUGAGAAAUCCCUGCAGGCAGCAGGAAGAGAGGACACAGAGGUGGGCGAUGGCCUGAGGUAAUACAGGACUGUCCUGGGGCUGGUGGUGGGAUGGGACAGUCACCAAGGCAUGCCAGCACCAGGUAUAAGGGGGCCUUACAGGCCAGUCACAGAGGCAGGCUUUAUGCUGGGGGCAAUGUAAGUGGCCGAUAGACCUUGAGCUUGGGAGGGAUGGCGCCCGGAGGAGUUGAGGUUGGAAAGAGAAGGGGCGUGAGGAGAUAAGGAAGGUUCUGGAAAGAAUGUGAACUGGACUGAGUCAAGGCAGAGGCCUGGGGCUGAGAGCUGGCCAUGCUGUAAACGCUGGUGAGAAAUGUCUCCCCCAGGUAGGACACAGAAGGAAAAUAUGGAUAGGGAUUAAAUGGCAGGUUCCCAGAGCUGUUCAGAGAAGUGGGCGUGAGGAAGCCGGGUCAGCGGGCUCCAGGGAGGGCUGACCAGACAGCCCCAGCAACUGCCAUUUCUGGGGUACGUGCUGGGCCUGUGCAGGAGGCAGGAGCAGAGGGUGAAGAGGAUUUGCAGGGCUGCUGCUGGGGGGCUGGGUGGGGGCCGUGGCCCAGGAGAGCCCCGAGGGUAAAGCCAAAGUGCUCAGCCCAUGAGCCCCCCUUACCAACCUACCCCCAGCUUUUGCUGAAAAGCCACAUGGGAAUGGGGAGAGGAGGGUCCAGCACAGUUCAGGAGGUUCAUGGUGCUUGGAUUCCAGGAAUCUGCUGAGCCGAGUCUGAAGGUGAAUUGUGUUGACCUGAGCAGCCCGUGCUCGGUCCUCCCAUCCCCCUGGACCCAGGGAAGAGCUCAGCCCCUGCCCUGGAAGUGGCCCUGGACGGGAGGGCCGGCUGGCUGGAGGGGAGCCCGAUCCAAGGAGGCAGUGGCUGAAAGUGGGUGUUACACCCUUCCUUAAUGAAUAACAGGGACCCUGAGCGAUGGCCACACUCCGCGUUUCCCUGGGAGUGCAGCCAUGAGUUAGGAGCCGACAGACAGCAGGGAACCGCGACCUCGACCAGGAGAAGAAACAGGCGAUAGAAAUAGACCCACACGUGACCAGACCGAGAUCAUCCUACAGGGACCUUAAAAUGACUCCUACAAACACACUGAACUCUUUACUGUACCCCCCAAAUGACACUGUGGAUAACAGUUGGAGGAAUUUCAUGAAAAAAAUCAAACCUCUAAAUCUCUUCUCUGCGGAAGAGUGUGGCACAGGGAAGCAGCUCACAUGGUGAUCAGGAAGCAGAGACAGAGAGAGAUUUAAUUCCAUUAGAUCCCUUCCGUACCAUAGAUAAUAAAAACAAACAUUAUGGACGUAGGGACGCGAGAGCCGGAUGCAGGUUGGCUAGCCUAGAUUACUAUGUUUGCCAAACAGACUAUCGAAGCCACAAACAGUCACGGCUGUGUGGGGGAAAAGCCGGCUUCUUCUGUAAGUCAUAGGGCUGUGAGCAUACAGGGGCUACCUGGUGGAACCCAAACCUCCACCGGUUCUCAGACCAUUGCCCCCUUGCUAAAAUAACAGGUACUGAGGUACCCCUCCACCCACUCACUCCUCUCUUCUCCUGUCAAUGCCCACACUGGGUCCCACCAGGUCCUCUUACCAGCUAACCCAAAGCUCAAACCAGCUGAGGAGAGCCCUCAGACCCCUAUUCAAGAUGUAAUAAAAAUGGCCUCUAAAGUUACUUUGUCAUCACUAAAAACAGGUUACUAAAAAUUUAAAGUCCCUCACAGGCUUUUUAAGAUACUCACUCCAGUCUUCCCCUCUGCUCUACCUCUUCUACUACUCAAGUUUUUGUUGCUAAAAAAAAUCCCAAAGCCCUUUCCCAUUAUUCUUUUACAUCUCUCCUUCCUCAUUCUCAGAUCCACGGAGCUGCUCUCAGCACCGCCUUCCCCGUCUUCCCCCUCUGUACCAGGCCCACAGAAAAGUCUUAACUGACCUGCUCACUUAGACUCUAGGACCUUGGAGAAGGCCUAUAGCCUACUUAUCUAAAAAGCUGGACCCAAUGGCUAAUGGAUGGCCCCAUUGCCUAAAAACUAUAACAGCGGCGGCCCUACUAAUCAAGGAUGCUGAUAAGUUAACGCUGGGGCAGAAGCUAACCGUUAUAGCCCCCCAUGCCCUAGAGAGCAUCAUCCGCCAGCCACCAGACAGAUGGCUAUCAAACUCUAGAAUAACACACUAUCAGAGCCUGUUGCUUGACAAGGACAGAAUAAUACUGGGACCCCCCCGCCCCGCUUAACCCGGCUACACUACUACCUGAACAAUCAUCAGAACCCGUCACUCAUGACUGUCAACAUAUACUGGCAGAAGAAACCAGUAUACGACGGGAUUUCAAAGAUCAGCCACUGCCCCACCCUAAGGUCAUAUGGAUCACUGAUGGCAGCAGCUUUCUCCAGGACGAUACAUUUUCAGGAUGGAUUGAAGCCUUCCCCACAAAACAAAAGAAACGACACAAAUGGUGGUCAAAAAGAUCCUAAAAGAUAUUUUUCCAAGAUGCGGCGUGCCUAAGGUAAUAGGAUCUGAUAAUGGACCAUCGUUCAUGGCCCAAAUAAGUCAGGGGUUAACCAGGACCCUGGGGAUUAAUUGAAAAGAGAGAGAGGGAGAGAUCUCCACUUGCCCAAUGUAAACAUACACCCCAAAGCCCCACUCCUCCAGCCACACCCACCUGCCUUCAGUUAUCCCUCACUUAAUCCCAUCAGGUGGUUG